UGUUAAGGCCAUUUGCUCUCAAUAGCACCUCU
rnacentral:piRNA from 1 species